UACAGAUCAUUUGAAUAUAACUUAUUC
rnacentral:misc_RNA from 1 species